GACCAAGAGAACUGUGGCACUCUGGAUAACGGCAGUUCAUCCAAGUCUCAUCCUAAUGAAAAUAAAGACACAGGAAAUGUCUUUGAUAAUUCUCCCAAAACCGCCAAUGGGGAGUCAGGAGUGCACCAUCACGGCAAUGGAUUAAAUGGACAAGCGUAUGGAGACUUCAAAUCCAGCCAAAAUGGGCACCACAAUGGUCAUCACAAAGUGAAUGGACACAGCGGCCCUGACAAGAUCUCUGGCAGUAAUCAUGGCAGUUUGACGUCUACGGCUCCUGUUGCUAAUGGAAUAGGCAGUGACCAUAGCCAACCAAACAAAGAUGCCUCAUCCCAGGCUAGUUCUUCUCAGAGCAUUCAUCCUGCUGCUAAUGAAAGCCAGGAUUUCUCCACUCCUGUCACAAGGGCUAAAACUCCAUCUGAACCCCUGCCUCACUGUACA